rnacentral:tRNA from 1 species
GGCUGCAUAGCUCACAGGUUAGAGCACUGGCCUUGUAAACCAGGGGUCAUGUAUUCAAAUCUCACUGGAGCCU